rnacentral:rRNA from 1 species
GUCCACGCCGUAAACGAUGAAUGCUAGCCGUUGGGCAGCUUGCUGUUCAGUGGCGCAGCUAACGCAUUAAGCAUUCCGCCUGGGGAGUACGGCCGCAAGGUUGAAACUCAAAGGAAUUGACGGGGGCCCGCACAAGCGGUGGAGCAUGUGGUUUAAUUCGACGCAACGCGCAGAACCUUACCAGGGUUUGACAUCCUGCGACCGCUCCCUAAUAGGAGUUUUCCCGCAAGGGACGCAGAGACAGGUGCUGCAUGGCUGUCGU